UACGUAGGGUGCGAGCGUUGUCCGGAUUUAUUGGGCGUAAAGAGCUCGUAGGCGGUUUGUCGCGUCGGCCGUGAAAUCUCCACGCUUAACGUGGAGCGUGCGGUCGAUACGGGCAGACUUGGGUUCGGUAGGGGAGACUGGAAUUCCUGGUGUAGCGGUGAAAUGCGCAGAUAUCAGGAGGAACACCGGUGGCGAAGGCGGGUCUCUGGGCCGAUACUGACGCUGAGGAGCGAAAGCGUGGGGAGCAAACGGG
rnacentral:rRNA from 1 species